rnacentral:lncRNA from 1 species
GUCUCUUUCUGGAUGUUGUUCCUUUUGGUGUUUUUUUUUCUGAAAACCAAGGACAUGGCUCUAAAACAGAAUGAGUCACAAGGACCUUUUUCAGACCUGGUAUCCUUUCUACCAUCAAGAAACAACAUGAUGUUUAGCACCAGACCAACAUACAGCUUCUCUACAGGAUUCAGAUUUCUUCACAAUAAGGUGAAAUCGUCGAUGGUAUAAAUCCUAGCUGAGAUAAAGGUGCUGCAUCCUUUCUGCCAUCAGAGGACAGAAUUCACUAGUUCCUGUUCAGAAAGGAACAUGCCUGAAAUGCAUUGCUGUUAUAUAGUAUCUAGAAAUUAGGAUGAGGACAUGUCUAGGUUUCUAAUUCCAUAGCACUUAGCAAUCAAUGAUAAGGUUCAGCUAUCUCCUUGUUCUUGUCUGCUGUAGGAAGCCCUAGGCUGAACACUAUUUCUACUAGUUUCUACUUCUGCUUCUACAGAAGCACUUGCUUCCGGGUGGCUUCUGAAGGUGAGUGACCUCACAACCAGCACAGAAGAUGCUACUGAAACCUUAAGGUUAAAUUAAUUUGUGCUAUGUUUGAAAAGUGCUAUGUACAAGCAGGGAAAGUUAAAAUGCUUUGAACCUAAUGGCUGAAAAUAUAUUAAAAAAAAAAAGAGUCUCUUCUGUCAUACUGAUAAUUCCGAUUAUAAUUCUAAUAACUCAGAUAAUUGAAGAGAUAUCAAAAAUGUGCUUGGCGUUUUUUUCAAUAAAACAAUGGGUCUAAUCAUUAUUUUGGGGUUUUAUAUAGUCGUGUACAAUAGUAGAUAGGGAGGUUAAGGAGUGAAAUUCUUGUUUCUGAGUACGGGAUUGCAGAUAUCUUAUAGGAUUAACAUUUUAAAAGAUUGCACAAGUUUUAUAAUAUCAUGCCUCAAAAAAAGUAUUUUCAUUCCCUAUUACAUUUAGCAAAUAUUUUGGCCUGAUUAUAUUUACGAAUGUUUCAAUUGUAAUUUAGAAAUGUUGCAUCUCAUAUUCUUGCCCAUAGACAUAGUGUCAUACAUACUCACCUGUUGAGAAAUAUUAAAAUAUUCUCUUUUUAACUUUUAUAAUUGAAAUUGUUGCUUUUUACAGUAAGUUUCGGGUGUGUCUCAACUCUAAGUGUAAUUAUUACUUAAGCAUGCAUUUCUUUCGUGUUUUAUAAGGCAGUUUUGUUAGACAUCAAAAAUAAACUCCUGAUUUCCCAAACAUUCUUUUGAAGCUCCAUGAUAAUAGAUAGCAAAGUACGCACACAUUUCUUGGGGGGGGGGGGGGGGAAGAAAAAGGAAAAAAUGAACUAAUCAACCAACCGAGAGAUAUACUGUAGCAGAUGGAAAUACAAG